rnacentral:misc_RNA from 1 species
GAUGAAGAACGUAGCGAAAUGCGAUAAGUAAUGUGAAUUGCAGAAUUCAGUGAAUCAUCGAAUCUUUGAACGCACCUUGCGCCCUUUGGCUAUUCCAGAGGGCAUGCCUGUUUGAGUAUCAUGAACACCUCAACUCUCAUGGUUCUGCCAUGAUGAGCUUGGACUUUGGAGGUCUUGCUGGCCCCUGUGGUCAGCUCCUCUCAAAUGGAUCAGCUUGCCAGUGUUUGGUGGCAUCACAGGUGUGAUAACUAUCUACGCUUGUGGUUUACCACCAGGUAACCUUCAGUGAUGGAGGUUCGCUGGAGCUCAUAAACGUCUCUCCUCAGCGAGGACAGCUUCUUGAACGUUUGAUCUCAAAUCAGGUAGGGCUACCCGCUGAACUUAAGCAUAUCAAUAAGCGGAGGA